GCAGUCAAAUGUGCAUAGUAUAUUAUCUAUGUCUAGUGAUAAAGUUUAUUUGCGUUCUGCACAUAGACUAUAUUGCUCACAUACAGUCUGCAGCCAAAGAAUAACAUGAGAUCAUAGUACUGGUCUAAUGAUGUUGAAAGACAACUUUACCAUUGACCAGCCUCCAAAUUCUCAAACAUAA
ensembl:snoRNA